GAUGAACGCUAGCGGCAGGCUUAAUACAUGCAAGUCGAGGGGCAGCAUGAAGUAGCAAUACUUUGAUGGCGACCGGCAAACGGGUGCGGAACACGUACACAACCUUCCUUUAAGUGGGGAUUACCCCAGAGAAAUUUGGUUUAUUACCCCUUACCCCACCGAAUUGGCUUCACUUUUUUUUUUUAGUUUCGCCGCUUAUUGAUGGUUGUGCGUAUGAUUAGAUAGUUGGCGAGGUAACGGCUCACCAAGUCUACGACCAUUAGCUGAUGUGAGAGCAUGAUCAGCCACACGGGCACUGAGACACGGGCCCGACUCCUACGGGAGGCAGCAGUAAGGAAUAUUGGUCAAUGGACGCAAGUCUGAACCAGCCAUGCCGCGUGAAGGAGUAAGGUCCUCUGGAUUGUAAACUUCUUUUAUAUGGGACGAAAAAAGGUCUUUCUAGACCCCUUGACGGUACCAUAUGAAUAAGCACCGGCUAACUCCGUG
rnacentral:rRNA from 1 species